UACGUAGGGUGCAAGCGUUGUCCGGAAUUAUUGGGCGUAAAGAGUUCGUAGGCGGUUUGUCGCGUCUGCCGUGAAAGUCCGGGGCUCAACUCCGGAUCUGCGGUGGGUACGGGCAGACUAGAGUGAUGUAGGGGAGACUGGAAUUCCUGGUGUAGCGGUGAAAUGCGCAGAUAUCAGGAGGAACACCGAUGGCGAAGGCAGGUCUCUGGGCAUUAACUGACGCUGAGGAGCGAAAGCAUGGGGAGCGAACAGGA
rnacentral:rRNA from 1 species